UUCGUAGGUGAACUGCGGAAGGAUCAUUAUUGAAUAAACUUGGUUGGGUUGCUGCUGGCUCUCCGGAGCAUGUGCACACUCACUCCAUCUUUAACCACCUGUGCACAUACUGUAGGCCUGAAUGACAUUUUUCGAGGAAACUCGGUUUGAGAACUGCUCGGCUGUUCUUGCAUUUCAGGUCUAUGUUUUUAAACAUAUACUCCAUAGCAAGUUAUAGAAUGUUAAUUAUGGGCCUUCUGUGCCUUUAAAACCUAAUACAACUUUCAACAACGGAUCUCUUGGCUCUCGCAUCGAUGAAGAACGCAGCGAAAUGCGAUAAGUAAUGUGAAUUGCAGAAUUCAGUGAAUCAUCGAAUCUUUGAACGCACCUUGCGCUCCUUGGUAUUCCGAGGAGCAUGCCUGUUUGAGUGUCAUGAAAUUCUCAACCUUUCUGGCUUUUAAAUAAGCUGGUCAGGCUUGGAUUAUGGGAGUUGCUGGUUUCUUUGAGAUCCGCUCUUCUUAAAUGCAUUAGCAAAAUUCUUGCUGGCCAUCUUUGGUAUGAUAAUUAUCUAUAUCAUUGAGACACAGCUUCUCCACUUCUAUGGGAUUUCAGGCUCUGCUUGGAUGUUUAUCUCCAAGUGUUCGAUUCAACCGAUCUGAAGCACUAGCUUAGGCACAGACGUUAACUCGUUUGAUGGUGUUGAAUACUUCAGGUUGACGAAGCGCGGCGUUCCUAGGAGCGCUCACGAGAGCAAGCAGCAUCAUUGAUGUGUGCACUGUCAUAUUCCUGUACCURCCCUAGCUAUUACGUGGCUUUUAUGGGUCUGGUCAAACCAUGACCUGAACAUAACCUUAGUGGGAGGAUCUUGCUUCUAAUAUAGUUCAUAUGAACAUUUUGACAAUUGACCUCAAAUCAGGUAGA
rnacentral:rRNA from 1 species